CAGCGGAAUCCAGCCCCCUUGAACGUUGCUGAACGCGAUUACAAAUAGCAAACGUUUGAAUAGAGCGGCGUACACACACACGUACACACGAUAUAAGGAGGGGAAGAUGAAAUACGUGCACGCGUACGUGGCCUCUAUCUCGCCGAAGACAGAAAGAAAGAAAUAAGUAGAGAGAGAGAGAGAGAGAGGGGU